rnacentral:rRNA from 1 species
UACGUAUGGUGCAAGCGUUGUUCGGAAUCAUUGGGCGUAAAGGGUGUGUAGGCGGACUAACAAGUCAGGUGUGAAAUCUUCGGGCUCAACUCGAAACCUGCAUUUGAAACUGUUAGUCUGGAAUCUGGGAGAGGCAAGUGGAAUUUCUGGUGUAGCGGUGAAAUGCGUAGAUAUCAGAAGGAACACCGAUGGCGAAGGCAACUUGCUGGCCUAAGAUUGACGCUGAAACACGAAAGCGUGGGUAGUGAAC